CUGUCAUUGAGAAUGUGUGUGUCAGUGAGUUUGUGUGUCUGUCCAUGAGUGUGUUGCAAAUCAGUGAGAUUGUGUGCAGGGCCAGUGCAAGGAUUUCUGACGCCCUAGGCAAAGAUCCAUUUUGCCGCCCCCUCAUGUCUCUAACUCACUGACAGACACACACUGUCAGACACACACACUCACUCACUGACAGACACACAC